AUUGAACGCUGGCGGCAGGCCUAACACAUGCAAGUCGAGCGAUAGAGAGAAGCUUGCUUCUCUUGAGAGCGGCGGACGGGUGAGUAAUGCCUAGGAAUCUGCCUGGUAGUGGGGGAUAACGUUCGGAAACGGACGCUAAUACCGCAUACGUCCUACGGGAGAAAGCAGGGGACCUUCGGGCCUUGCGCUAUCAGAUGAGCCUAGGUCGGAUUAGCUAGUUGGUGGGGUAAUGGCUCACCAAGGCGACGAUCCGUAACUGGUCUGAGAGGAUGAUCAGUCACACUGGAACUGAGACACGGUCCAGACUCCUACGGGAGGCAGCAGUGGGGAAUAUUGGACAAUGGGCGAAAGCCUGAUCCAGCCAUGCCGCGUGUGUGAAGAAGGUCUUCGGAUUGUAAAGCACUUUAAGUUGGGAGGAAGGGCAGUAAAUUAAUACUUUGCUGUUUUGACGUUACCGACAGAAUAAGCACCGGCUAACUCUGUG
rnacentral:rRNA from 1 species